UACGGGGGGAGCAAGCGUUGUUCGGAUUUACUGGGCGUAAAGAGCGUGUAGGCGGCCAAGCAGGUCCGUUGUGAAAACUGGAGGCUUAACCUCCAGACGUCGACGGAAACCGCGUGGCUAGAGUCCGGAAGAGGAGAGUGGAAUUCCUGGUGUAGCGGUGAAAUGCGCAGAUAUCAGGAAGAACACCAAUGGCGAAGGCAGCUCUCGUGGGACGGUACUGACGCUGAGACGCGAAAGCGUGGGGAGCGAACAGGAUUAGAU
rnacentral:rRNA from 1 species